rnacentral:rRNA from 1 species
CAGCAGCCACGGGAAUACGUAGGGUGCGAGCGUUAAUCGGAAUUACUGGGCGUAAAGCGUGCGCAGGCGGUUAUAUAAGUCAGAUGUGAAAUCCCCGGGCUCAACCUGGGAACUGCAUUUGAGACUGUAUGGCUAGAGUGUGUCAGAGGGGGGUAGGAUUCCACGUGUAGCAGUGAAAUGCGUAGAUAUGUGGAGGAAUACCGAUGGCGAAGGCAGCCCCCUGGGAUAACACUGACGCUCAUGCACGAAAGCGUGGGGAGCAAACAGGAUUAGAGACCCCUGUAGUCCCUGUCUCUUAUAC